rnacentral:rRNA from 1 species
GACGAACGCUGGCGGCGUGCUUAACACAUGCAAGUCGAACGAUGAAGCCCAGCUUGCUGGGUGGAUUAGUGGCGAACGGGUGAGUAACACGUGGGCAACCUGCCCCAAACUCUGGGAUAACUCCUCGAAAGAGGUGCUAAUACCGGAUACGAACUAGGUAGACAUCUGCACUAGUUGGAAAGUUUUUCGGUUUGGGAUGGGCCCGCGGCCUAUCAGCUUGUUGGUGAGGUAACGGCUCACCAAGGCUACGACGGGUAACCGGCCUGAGAGGGCGACCGGUCACACUGGGACUGAGACACGGCCCAGACUCCUACGGGAGGCAGCAGUGGGGAAUAUUGCGCAAUGGGCGAAAGCCUGACGCAGCGACGCCGCGUGAGGGAUGAAGGUCUUCGGAUCGUAAACCUCUUUCAGUAGGGACGAAGCGAAAGUGACGGUACCUAAAGAAGAAGCACCGGCUAACUACGUGCCAGCCGCCGCCGUAA